UAGGGAAUCUUCGGCAAUGGACGAAAGUCUGACCGAGCAACGCCGCGUGAGUGAAGAAGGUUUUCGGAUCGUAAAACUCUGUUGUUAGAGAAGAACAAGUGGGAGAGUGACUGUUCCCACCUUGACGGUAUCUAACCAGAAAGCCACGGCUAACUACGUGCCAGCAGCCGCGGUAAUACGUAGGUGGCAAGCGUUGUCCGGAUUUAUUGGGCGUAAAGCGAGCGCAGGCGGUUUCUUAAGUCUGAUGUGAAAGCCCUCGGCUCAACCGAGGAAGGUCAUUGGAAACUGGGAAACUUGAAUGCAGAAGAGGAGAGUGGAAUUCCAUGUGUAGCGGUGAAAUGCGUGGAUAUAUGGAGGAACACCAGUGGCGAAGGCGACUCUCUGGUCUGUAAUUGACGCUGAGGCUCGAAAGCGUGGGGAGCAAACAGGA
rnacentral:rRNA from 1 species